ACUGAGUCUCAUAUUUCAACAUUAGUCAGCUCUCUCUCUCUCUCCCCGUCCACUCUUUCUCUGGCUCUCUUUCCUAUGCUCCCCUCAUUUCCUUCUCUCAGUCCUCUCUUUAAGAUAUGGGGUAGAUUGCUGGAGCUAAACUGAAAAAGCGUGGCAGGAAAGAAGGGAAGGGAAAGAAAAAGAAGGCAAAAAAAACCCCUUUCGGCUGCUUUUUCUGCUGCAAGGGCCUCCCCACCAGCGGGCCUAGCCAGAAAGGGAGGGCUUCUGCUCUCCUAAUAGGAUUUAACCCUCUGUCUACAGCCGCUGCACUGCAGCCGAACCAAACCCUGCCAACAAGUCACACUCUCCAGCGCAUUGCUUGAGGUCUCAUGCACCAGUUUUCGGCACUGGAGAUUUUAUUUUGUUUCGGUUUGGUUUUGAGUUCUUCGUUUAUGCCUCGUGAUGAUUAUCAGUUGUAGCUUUUUGAGAGUGAUUUGGAGCAUGGGAUCUCAUUGGACGUAGAGAACUAUACAGUAGGGUAGUGGUGUACGGGAGCUGUGUCUGGGACAGAUGCCAAUUGCUCACAAAAGACUGAAAAAAAAAAUUCGGGCCACUGGACCAAAAACAGAGCACAGAUUUUUUUUUUUUUGCUGUGAAAAUGUUACACAGACACGUGAGAGAGGGAGCGCGGAGGAAAAUGUGGCUCUCCUUCUGUGGCGGAUUCUUCAUGCACAGACUCUCCCAGAACUAAACGCAAAAUCCUGCUCUCUGGAACACAUGCUUGGAGGGAGUACUGUACUUCCAGAAGCUGGUCGUGCUGAUGGUUCAGAAGCCCAAGAGGGAAGAGAGAAAGGCACAACUGAGAGACGCCAAGAGGGGAGGGAAUGGAGGAAAGAAGGAAAGCGGAAGGAGGAGGAGGGGAGGACCUUUUCCAGCCUGUUAAAUGUUCCCCAGGCCCAGCCAAGGCGAAGGCAGGCACUGCAUGCUGAUUUGCAUUCAGCGGACAUGCUAAUUGUGUGUUUUCUAACAUGCUCCAUUCAUUCGGACGAGGCUCUAGUCUACAGACGGGCUUCAUACACGCCUCCCAGACACCCGCGUGGCCUCCUAUUGUUGCUGAGGCCACUUAACCGGGCCGAAGAGCUCCAGGCCCGGGCCGAGGCACAAUGCAGAGCAGGGGGUUAGCCUGGAUCUCUAGGCUGCUGUGGAGAGAGGACAGAACGGGGAAACACUUAGCUAGAACUCCCUUCUCAGAUUCGGAGUGCCUCUAUCAUUUCUAUCCCUCCACAAUGAAGAAGAUAUUGCGGGGAAAAAACCCUGGCUGAGAAGGAACGAGGCCAUAGGAAUUCGAACCUGAGUAUCCGAAACACUUUUAGAGCCUUGAGGGUUAGAUUUCUACAUUUUGCGUGAGAGAGUGAAGUCUUCAGGAUUAUACUGUGCAUUAAGGGUUGUCUGAAGCUUGAUCCUGUCUUACGCACUCUGAACAAGCUUUUUGCACAGAUGGAGGUGAGAAAUGCUGAGGCACACUGGAUAGAUGCACCAACAGACAAACCGAACUCCCUAACAGGAACAUUUGAUCUGGGUAUUGUAUGUUAACGUGAGUAAAAUUCAGUCUGGGUAAUUUUAUAGUUUUAUUCAUAACUACAUGUUUGCACUUAUAUUCGUUUUUUGUUAUUGCUCUUGUUAUGAUUCUGUACACUUUAUGAAACCCUGUUUCCAGCCUGAGCCGGAUCACCUGACCACUCUGCAGUGCAUUACACUGUCCUUUGGGGUGAGGUAGUAGGUUGUAUAGUUUUAGGGUCAUACCCUUGCUGUGAGAUAACUAUACAACUUACUGUCUUUCCUGAAGUGGCUAUAAUAUCAUCGUUAUGAUGUGAAGUGACUGCUACAGUUAUGGCAUGCUGCUUACUGCUACAGUUGGUGUCUUUCCUCUGAUCUGUUUAGUAUUAAGUAUGUCAGUGUCAAAUUUAUGCAAAACUAAUUAUAUAUUAUAUAUCUUUAUGUAUUUCUUCCCUGCAGACUGUAAACCUGACUUGUUUCAUUGCGAUGUAUGAAUUAUGCAUUUACUGGACAGCAAUCAUCUUGCCUGAUUUUAUGUAUAUAUAUACAAUAUAAAAUUCUGUCCAUAUUCGCUGGAUAUGAGCAAUCGUGCACUCUGACUGGCUACUCUACUAAUAGGUUAUCAACUCAUAUAUCAUGAGUAGAGAAAACCAAAAUGGCGGAGCGUGUUGCUGCACCAACCGAGGAUGAAAUAAAAACUCGACUCAAACCCCCCCCCAAAUUAUCAAGUAUUAAAAAGAAAGAGAAAUAGUUAAAAGAAUAUAGUUUUUUUUUCCACGACCCAGUAUCUCCUGUUCCACAGUCCAGCCUAGUCAGUGGCGGUAAUGCACCUUUAAAGUGCCAUUCCACCAUUGGAUGUAUUCUUUGGCAUAAAAUACAAUAUAUUUUAUGACAACAUGACUAG